rnacentral:rRNA from 1 species
UACGUAGGGUGCGAGCGUUAAUCGGAAUUACUGGGCGUAAAGCGUGCGCAGGCGGUUUUGUAAGCCAGAUGUGAAAUCCCCGGGCUUAACCUGGGGAAUGGCAUUUGGGACUGGCAAGGCUGGAGUGCGGGCAGAGGAGACUGGAAUUCCUGGUGUAGCAGUGAAAUGCGUAGAUAUCAGGAGGAAUACCGAUGGCGAAGGCAGGUCUCUGGGCUGACACUGA